UGCUUUUUGCUUGUCUCUGCAAAUAAUGCUUUUUAUAAUAACCUUUUCGGUGGAUUAUGAAGAUUGGGAACAUAAAACGAUUGAAUUUCUAUAAUUCGCUUUCACCCAAAGCGCACCACCCGUCUGAUACUACAACUGGCGUAACAGUGCUGAAAAGCAAAUCCUUUUCUAAUUAAAACAACUGCAGUAAAAAAUUGCAAUCUAGGUGCACAAAAAGUUUCAUAUUUUAAUGUUUCUGUGGCAACGCUUCUCGAAUAAAAGAAAGCAUUAAUAUGAAUAAACCAUUGUAAAAUUCCUCGAGUAUCUUCACUUGCUUGGCAUAAGCAAAUCCCAGAUUAUGUUGAACUGCAGGCCGGCGCCGGUGCAUUUCUUUCUGCACUUGGUGUCAUCGUGCUACGAUGGCUGAAACGUGAGCUUUUGGUAUGGCGACCUGAGCUCCAUGCUGCGCCGUAUUUUCCCAGAAGUUUCACGCGAUUACCGCUUGACAGAGUUGCAACCGUUUGACAUGAAAAGUCUUUCAUUUCAGUCACGAUAGGGGUCGCUUGCUAACACCACGCUUAAUGAAAAGUAACAAAAGCAUCCGAUACUAAUAUCGCUUCUAUUUUUGUCGCCGUACUGCCCAUGCGCACAACUUUGGUAUCGUUGUGCGGAGGAAAGACGCCAUUACUCGACUAUGCCUGUGUCACGUGAGCAGAGGGCGCAGUCGUCGCGCUACGCCCACCACCACGGCGGGUCGGUAACGAGAAUAAUAAUAAAAAAAGAAAACUACGAAUGAAGGAAGCAUGACCGUUGGAUUAAAUUAUGUAAGCUUGAGGUGUAACACGCACCAACUUACAGGAGGCUGUCAUUCAUUCAACUUCUUUACCAGUAUGACUUAGGGUCUGCUGCUGCACGGCUAAGAGCAUUCGUUACCAGGUAUACUUCUAAAUAUCAUUGCUAAUGCAAGGUAUUUCUUGUAAAAGGAUAAAAACAACCGGCGGGAUAGCACUGCCUAAGAAUAUAUAGAUUGUAGGGCACCGCAAGCACUUAGCUAGGAGCUUUGCCCGUGAACUGCUACCCGAUUCAACCUUGAAGUCUUAGAACUCAAUUUAUGAAAUAUUUUGACUAUGCGAAAAUAAUUUGUUGUUCUGCAUUGCGAAAAAUUAUUUUGUAUUCAUUGAAACAACUUUCGCACUUUAGGCAUUGAGUCACUUGUCGCCAAAAUCAAGGUGCUGUUUCGGUAUUGGCAGAGCCAGUGGUUUCUACUAAACGUGGAAUUUCUGUGGAGUACGGAAUCGGUGCUCAGUAGCACAACUGUUGAUAUCCUACGGCUGCCAUAUAUCGUAUACUGAUAUCAUGUGACUGUUUAUAUGUAUCGCUUCCCCUUCUUCUCUCGUUUAUUCAUAGCGAAGGUUUCACACCUGGCUGCCUUGAUGACAUAAGGCAGCAUGGGAGGCUUUAUUAGCCACGUGCUUACUCACCUAAGAUCACGUGUUGCGUGACGCCUUCGGGAAAAGAAGGAUGUUCCACAUCCGCCCACCAUGGCUCUGAGUGGCUCUGACUAACACUCCUAGGGUUAGAUAUAGUAGACAAGAAUACCCAAGUUAGUGGACGGAUUGAUAGCCUUCGCCGUAGCUGAAUUGGUAGUGCAACGUACGCCUAUUUAAUUCGAAGGUUGCGGGUUCGGCUCCCACCGGCAGCACGUUAUCUUUUCGUUCACUUUCAUUUUCCUUUUAUUGGCAUUAUUGCCUGUUGGCUUUAUGAGGUCAUGAUUACACACACACACACACACACACACACACACACACAAACACACGCACGCACGCACGCACCCAUUCCCUCUCUACCUCUGCCACGCAACCAGCUUCCCAUACUUGACACAUACAUUUUCCCACUUUGAUACUCCUAAUGCUAACGAAUAAAUAAAUAAAUAAAUAAAUAAAUAAAUAAAUAAAUAAAUAAAUCAUCUAUACAAAUUUCGAAAGGAGGCGCCAAACUCUAUAGCCGGGGGCUUUCCGGAAAAAUUAAAAUUAUGACUCCCUUUAUCGAGCACCGACGACGCGCACUCGGUCGUCGGUGGUACUCCUUCCAGACUCAGGUCCUAGAUAUCUAACACCAGUGGGCACACUGCUGUAUCGACUUGAACUGGAAGUUUUAGACAUGGCUAAAUUUCUGCAUUGCGUUCAGCUCGCGGAUGAGUGCCUACGCAAGGAGGAGGAUGUCGAUCACUAAUUUCGAAGACAAAAUUUUUAAACAGAAGCUGCGUCAUCCUCACGUUACCUAUAUUCUUUUCACGUGUUAUAUAUGCGCUAUAGCUCCUGCGUACGUAGGGUAACAGGUGGCGGAAACACCCUGUUUCAACAUAUGGACUUUGUUUUCGAUGCCAGAACCUAUUAUAUUUACUGACUAUAUUGUUUGUCAAUCUGUCCAUGUCUCUUGUGUCGACGUGCCAAUGUUCGACCCAUUCUGGGGGAUCGGCCGAGAAUGGAGACACACCCAGUGGCACAUAUUGGAUGACCAAAUCAAAGGAAAUCAGCUCAAGAAACUAAAGAAGCUCUGUGUGCUUUAGAGAUGAGCAUUUUUUACGACAUCGACUACGGCUGAAGAUUAUUACGAGGAAGGCACCACACCUUACCGAAACUUGCGGGAUGAUUGCAUGAAGGCAGGAAGACCGUGCAAUACCCACAUGGACUGCUGCGGCCGCUUAUUUUGUGAAGAUGAUAACUGUGUAAACCCCUUCGAUCCAUGAUCGAGCAUGCCUGCAAUUAAAGGCUGUCUUUGAAGAACA